CCUAUAAUUCCCGCUUUUGUGAUUACAAUAAAUAAAAGUCAAGGACAAACUUUUGAUCAUGUAGGCUUAUUCCUCCCUGAGCCCGUCUUUGCCCAUGGACAACUAUAUGUGGCUCUUACUAGAUGUAAAUCUCAAAAUAAUAUGAAAAUUAUGAUUUUGCCAUCAGAAUUACAAGGAAAAAUUUUAAAAAAUGAUAAAACAUUCACACAAAAUAUCAUAUAUAAUGAAAUCUUAAAUUCAUAAUUUGUAAGAAAUUUAAACCAACUUUGUUAUUCACCAUCAAAUCACCAACUUUACAUCAUCUUCAAAAACGAAACCACCUUGAGCAAAGAAAAGAGAACUUCUUCACCAUCGCUAAACCAUCUUCCUCACCAACAACAGUUAUUUACGGCAAACUACGAGCAAGGAAAUUUCAACAUCAUCUUCAAAAACGAAACCACAUUGAGCAAAGAAAAGAGAACUUCUUCACCAUCGCUAAACCAUCUUCCUCACCAACAACAGAUAUAUACGGCAAACUACUGGCCAUGGCAAAACAUUAACAAAUAAAAGUCAAGAUACGGUGAUAUACCCGACUAAUGCUUAAAAUUCUU